rnacentral:rRNA from 2 species
UACGUAGGGGGCAAGCGUUAUCCGGAUUUACUGGGUGUAAAGGGAGCGUAGACGGCAGCGCAAGUCUGGAGUGAAAUGCCGGGGCCCAACCCCGGAACUGCUUUGGAAACUGUGCAGCUCGAGUGCAGGAGAGGUAAGCGGAAUUCCUAGUGUAGCGGUGAAAUGCGUAGAUAUUAGGAGGAACACCAGUGGCGAAGGCGGCUUACUGGACUGUAACUGACGUUGAGGCUCGAAAGCGUGGGGAGCAAACAGG